CCUAAUUUGGACAAAACAAGACACAGGGAGUUUCUGAGGAUUAGAAUCGAUGAAAGCGGUGGGUGCUAACUUCCUACAACCUAAAAACAUGCCAGUAGCUGAAAGGACUUUUCAUUCUAACUGCUACAGUCAAGUGGUGGGAAGAUUCAGAAGCUCACAGAGGAAUUGGUCUGUGUGACAGAAGGCAGGACUGCAAGACAGCUGAACGGAAAAAUAAUAUAUACAGCAGGCAAUAUGUUGCAGCAUGAAGUAGCUCUAGAAACAAGCCUAAGUGUAUAAUAGUUAAACAAGCAAACACACAUUUUCAUCCUUGACAUGCUGACAUCCCCACUGAUUUGAACUAUCACCCAGGAUGGAGACAAGGUUCCCCAGGCUGAAGCAAAGGAAUCAGAAUGCUAGAUUCCUUUUUCCUUUAUGGCUGGAUCGCCUUUUUCACAGCACACAGGUAAGUAGGCCCAGUCCGGCAGCAGGCAGCCA